GCAUUGGUGGUUCAGUGGUAGAAUUCUCGCCUGCCACGCAGGAGACCCGGGUCCGAUUCCCGGCCAAUGCA
rfam:Danio rerio chromosome 4, GRCz11 reference primary assembly.